rnacentral:lncRNA from 1 species
UUGAAUAUUAAUUAUUUCUUAAACGAAUUCACUUAAGAAGAGAGCUCUUACUAAUACUGAAUGCCACCCUUUGUAGUGCCUGUAGCUGUGGUGAAUGCUGAGACAUUUAAGCUCUGUCUCUACUGAGAAGAAUGCUUCACAUGACAUGCCUUAAAGUCCUGUCUGUGCUAGCAUCCAGACCAGAGAACUAGCUGAAGCAUUCAGGCAUGUCUUCCUUGGAAACACAGGCAUCAAAGCGACAGGAAGAGGAAGCGCCUGGUUCUUGUCCUGAUACGGAGUCAGGAUACGGUUGUAGUGGGCACCUGGCCCUGGCAAGAGAAACUGCUGUCUCUUUACAUUUGCUUCUCCUGGAAAAGAGGUUGCACUCAGUGGCUAAAUCUGUCCUCUCAAGGGAGCACACAUUACUACUGCAGCCGCAGAGGUGGAGGCAGCCCAGGCCCAGAAUGCUUGACAUAGAGGAGAAGCAGGACACUGAGUACUUUAGAGACGGCUUUGGAUUCUUCCAGCUUCCUUCAUUAUAUAGAGCAAUAUAUUUAAAAAGUUCAUCGUAA